UUUAAACAUCCUUUUGUGUGUAAGUGUGCAUUAGUACAUGCUAACGAUAUUCAAAAAGUACAUACCUCAAAGAAAACGAUGACGCGAGUUAUCGUCUCUAACGUUCGAGGACUACAAAAAACACUCGGAUUGUAGGCAACAGUUUACUUCCUGGGAUUAGUGACGUAGAUAAGACCAACAUUAUCAUAGUUCAGCCCUCUCUGCUUUGCUUGGGUACGCCCUCAAAGACGAGGGUGGGGAGCGCCGAGUCAGAAGAGAGCUAAAAUGGCGGAGGUUGGGAGUCCCUGCUUUGACUCUGUUUGCAAACUCUUGUUUCAUUGUUUAAGCGAUUAAAUCUCUCGAGUAGACGCUGUCUCUUUAGAUGCGAGGGAAAAUAGCACUUUAUGGACUUCCACAGAGGACAUCAUGUUUAAUACGGUUCCGGAAAAAUCCAGUCAGAAGUUGUUCACGGAGUUUUCACAAUAACUGCUUCUCAUGAACCGAAGCUGGAUUUGCGCGACGUCUCCUCUUGAAAGUUGGAUUACUGUGCACUUCUGGAUCACAGGCUAUUCGCAGCUGGACGCAUCCUUCUACACUGUAUGCAAACAUGCAACAUCAUUACACACAGUACAAGGAGUCAGACUGGCAUAUGAGGAGCAAAGGAACCCAGGCAGUAGCAUCGUUUCACAAUGUUUCCAUCACCAUCAUCAGUGGAUGCCUUUGCCGUCCGUAGCCUGAGAUUUCAGAUUUGCAGCAAAAAAAAUUGAUUUUCUCAUUUAUUGGAAUGCUGUGCAGGUAUUUGUACCUUGCAGCCAUCCAUUACAAUGUCACCAAGCCGUAACAAAAGCAGGAGAGGGAAAGUACAAGGCUAUGUUCCCAAAACACACAAGUGACAUACCUUAUGUGGAUGAUGUGAUCAGGCUUGUGUUUGAUGAGGUAUUUGAAGAUAAGCUGAAGGAAACCCUGAUUCCAAUGGACCUGGCAUCACAGUUUGAGAGACCUUCAAAGGAGGACGUGAUUGCAUGCCAUCUUCAGUGCAGGGGUCGUCGAAAGCCAAAAUUGUGACCGAUCUGAUCAGGAAGCUCCAAGCGUAUCUGGAGAACAACACACGACAGGAUGAUAACCUUAUAGUGUCGUCUUAGAUAGCACCAGCUGACAAA